rnacentral:rRNA from 1 species
ACUCUGGGACAAGCCCUGGAAACGGGGUCUAAUACCGGAUACUGAUCAUCUUGGGCAUCCUUGGUGAUCGAAAGCUCCGGCGGUGCAGGAUGAGCCCGCGGCCUAUCAGCUUGUUGGUGAGGUAAUGGCUCACCAAGGCGACGACGGGUAGCCGGCCUGAGAGGGCGACCGGCCACACUGGGACUGAGACACGGCCCAGACUCCUACGGGAGGCAGCAGUGGGGAAUAUUGCACAAUGGGCGAAAGCCUGAUGCAGCGACGCCGCGUGAGGGAUGACGGCCUUCGGGUUGUAAACCUCUUUCAGCAGGGAAGAAGCGAAAGUGACGGUACCUGCAGAAGAAGCGCCGGCUAACUACGUGCCAGCAGCCGCGGUAAUACGUAGGGCGCGAGCGUUGUCCGGAAUUAUUGGGCGUAAAGAGCUCGUAGGCGGCUUGUCGCGUCGGUUGUGAAAGCCCGGGGCUUAACCCCGGGUCUGCAGUCGAUACGGGCAGGCUAGAGUUCGGUAGGGGAGAUCGGAAUUCCUGGUGUAGCGGUGAAAUGCGCAGAUAUCAGGAGGAACACCGGUGGCGAAGGCGGAUCUCUGGGCCGAUACUGACGCUGAGGAGCGAAAGCGUGGGGAGCGAACAGGAUUAGAUACCCUGGUAGUCCACGCCGUAAACGGUGGGCACUAGGUGUGGGCGACAUUCCACGUCGUCCGUGCCGCAGCUAACGCAUUAAGUGCCCCGCCUGGGGAGUACGGCCGCAAGGCUAA